UGGGGAAUAUUGCACAAUGGGCGCAAGCCUGAUGCAGCGACGCCGCGUGGGGGAUGACGGCCUUCGGGUUGUAAACUCCUUUCGCAUGGGACGAAGCUUUUUGUGACGGUACCGUGAGAAGAAGCACCGGCUAACUACGUGCCAGCAGCCGCGGUAAUACGUAGGGUGCGAGCGUUGUCCGGAUUUACUGGGCGUAAAGAGCUCGUAGGUGGUUUGUCGCGUCGUCUGUGAAAUUCCGGGGCUUAACUCCGGGCGUGCAGGCGAUACGGGCAUAACUUGAGUACUGUAGGGGUAACUGGAAUUCCUGGUGUAGCGGUGGAAUGCGCAGAUAUCAGGAGGAACACCGAUGGCGAAGGCAGGUUACUGGGCAGUUACUGACGCUGAGGAGCGAAAGCAUGGGUAGCGAACAGG
rnacentral:rRNA from 1 species